AAGUACACCUUCCGGUACACUUACCAUGUUACGACUUGCCUCCCCUUUAUUAAUCUAAUUUUUUAAGUUAAGCUUUUGAACAGGUUUGGGGAGAGUGACGGGCGGUGUGUGCGCGCUUUAGAGCCGGCUUCAGCAGAACUCUCUAUUUCCUGCUUACUGCUAAAUCCUCCUUUAUGUGCACAUUUCAUUGCACAAUUCGUUUUCCUUAUGUAAGGAAUGUAGCCCAUUUCUGCCCCUCCCAUUCGCUACACCUCGACCUGACGUUUUGGGGUUUGCUGAUCUUGCUUACUAUGGAUCCCUCACGGGGUAAGCUGACGACGGCGGUAUAUAGACGGGGUUAACAAGGGAAGGUGAGGUUUAACGGGGGUUAUCGGUUCUAGAACAGGCUCCUCUAGGGGGGUCUUAAGCACCGCCAAGUC
rnacentral:rRNA from 1 species